rnacentral:lncRNA from 1 species
AUGGUCUAUUGUGCAAGAGGGACAAAUGUGGGCAGGAGAAUGGAGACAUCACUUGUCCUGGGCUACACGAUAUGCUACCCAUUCAUGCCAACUGUUCAUUUAAAUUCAUCACAACACAAGAAAGCUUACUGCAACAGAGGACAUGCAUUUGAUUGGGAGCCUUCUGUACAACAAACAGAGACAAGGAGAACUGAAAGUGCAAUGGAAGAAUCUGGAGUCAGACGAACCACAGUUAUGGCAACAUCUGGAAAAACAGUGCUGGAUGGUGGCUGCGCAUUGCCCACAACCCUGGCAGAGGCACAGCAAGGCUGUUAG